ensembl:lncRNA
CUUAGCCAAAGCAACACCAUCUUCAUCAUUAGAGGCUUCCAGUUUCACGUUCUUUUUCCUGUGUGAAUGAGCCUUUCCGCCACAGUCCUGAAGUGCUCUUCCAGCAGUGUUGCCUUCUCAGGAGUAGUGACGGCUGUGCGGCACAGGAAGUGAGUGGAAUUGACGCACGUGAUGUGGAAGUCACAAAAUGCUGAGCCAGCAGCAAACUGGGAGCCACUGACUUGACUUUCAGAGACCUGUUUUAUGAAAUCAUGAGGUGGAACCAUGAAGGCUAAUCAAACUCUUGCUGAGCUCUCUGGUUGGGAUUGAUAUUGAUUCCAGUCAGAAGUUGGCUGCUGCUGCUGCUGCUGCUAAGUCACUUCAGUCGUGUCCAACUCUGUGCGACCCCAUAGACGGCAGCCCACCAGACAAGAACACUGAAGUGGGUUGCCAUUUCCUUCUCCAAUGCAUGAAAGUGAAAAGUGAAAGUGAAGUCGCUCAGUCAUGUCCUUUUCUUCACCCCAUGGACUGAAGCCUACCUCUUAUUAAAAGCUCUGUGACAUCUGUAAACAUUCAUGCAGUUGUGACUGGAAGAGAAAAACAGUUUUCUCCCACAAGGAUACAUGAAUCUAUUGGAACCCAUUUCCAUCUCGUAAGAAAAAUCAACAGAGAAAGCACUCAUAGGAACCAGUGUGAAGAACAAGUGUUGGGGGCUGUGGAAAGGGCAUCAGUGGAUCCUGAGCAUGAAGUAGGCUUUGAAGGUGGGGACAGUAGAGAAGAGGCAUGCCUUUGGCAUGUAGACAAUUUGGGCCUGACCCUAAGGGCACUGGAAGCCCGCUGAUGUGUUUAAAGCAGAAAAAUGAAAUAAGCCAUAUUGUAUUUGAGAAUAAACUUGACAGAACAAAACUGAAAACA